GAAAUGAAAUAUUGGAUGGAGGUUAAUAAUAAUAAUGGUGUAACAUCAUUUGUAUAGUGAUGGAAAGUGGUCCAAUUUUUUUUUUUUUUUUGUUAUGGAAAACUUUUUUAGGUUGCAAAAAAUUAAGGGGCCCCACUUCAACUAAUAUUUCUGCAUUUUAAUUUUCUUAUCAUGCACCUGCAUUGAGAGGAUUUGUUGCAAAUACCUACCGGGAAGUGUAGGAUCGAAGGUAUAAAGUAUUCGUAAAGCAUGCUCUCUCGUAUAACUUACGAGGCUAUUGUUGGAAAAUAGCAUUCGUCUCCAUUUUGGCAUUUGUGUUAUAAAUAGCUGCGGAAAAUAGAGAGAAAUUCUUCCGAGUCUUGAUCUUCAACAUUGGCACAUGUGGCUGUUCAAUGUUCGUUCUUGAUUCAAUCUAAUAUUAUUUUUUUUGCAGCUUAUUUUAAUGGAUUUAACUUUUAAUGCAGGAACAUUUAAUCAUAUUAUUAUUCAAUAGUCGACGUUUAUAGGUGUGGAUUAUGGGGCCUCCAUCUUCAAGUUUGAAUUUAUGGCCGUACGUCUUAUCUUAGCUUGUCACGAUAACUUUUAGCUGUCACGUUAUUAUCGAAUCAUAUUAUAAGAUCGUUUCGGAAUAAUGCAUCAUUGGUUGUAUUCAAA